AUGGUUAUCAAUCGGGUAGAAAACAGCGCCCAAUCUCCUGAAGAUUGGAAUAGCGAUGGUGAUGGUUCAGGUUGUUCAACCGGAGUAGCUGGCACACCAUGUUUCACCUCUAGGUUAUCACUGCUCAAGGCUGGUUCAGUAAUAGCACAGUUUAGUGAAUUCAAGCAGGAGCUAGUUAGGGAAACCGGUUUCGGAGGAAUGCUAGAGUUGAAGUCAUGGCAUAAGAUUAACUUGAAAUACAGUGCUUAUUUGAUGGAUAGAGUUGAUUUAGAUUCCUGCUCCUUGAACCUGGAGUCACAGGGGGUGUUGGAUUUGUUUGACAAGGAUUUGAACUAUGUUUUUGGCAUCCCAUGUGGGAAUCUAACAAUUGAAGGUGAAGGCGUUGAACCAUCUGUAGCUUGUAUCGAGUACACACGGAUAGCAGCAUCAUUUAGCGAGAAAGGCACACACAGCCUCAAAGCCGCUGAAUCAUUCUUGCUUGGACCCAUAUCAGAAGAAUCAACAGAAACAGAGAAGGAUUGUUUCAAAAUUGCAUUUGUGAUUUUCAUCAUUGGACAUGUGCUCGCCCCGACCGCCAAACAUGACUACAUAUCAGUAGAUUUCUGGGCAGCACUGAACGAUGUCAGCAAGAUCAAAGAUUGGAACUGGGGGGCUUACGUACUGAAAAAUUUGCUCCAAGCAGUGAAGAAGUUCAAAAACGAUGUUUCAAAGAGGAACCCAACUAUACAUAUAGUCGGAUGCCAUCUGUUCUUGCAGGUUUUUGUCCUCGACAGAUUAGAGCUCAGUGUACUGAACAAGCCAGAAGGAGUGACACCAAGGAUAAGCCUGUACGACUAUGAGUCAAUGAAAAAGAUGGUUGAGCAAAUCACGGUUAACAUCGCUGGUGGAGAAGUCACUUUCAGUGGCGGCAAGGUCAGGAGUGGUAUGGCCGUCGGGGGGCUCGAGUCAGCUGGGAAUCAUACCGUUACAGAAAAAAUGGCUAGGCCUGCUAUUGCCACCAAAAGAGCAAACAAUCCAUGCUCACCAAUGCUACGAUCUUCUUACACGAGAAAUGGCCCGCAGGAAUUUUCAUAUUACAUUCGCUCGCGGUACCCUACCAUAUCACCUCAGAAGCUUGGCAUACUUCUACGGGAACAAAAUGCACGCGGCUUAGCAAACAUAUCGGAAAUGAGGCAAGCGUUCCAAUCGAACAUGUUCACCUUCACUGACAAGCUAAUGGCGUGCCUCGGAGAAAUGUGUACAUGCUGUAAGGCACAUGGACGGAAAAUGUGUAUCCUGAAGAGUGAAGAGACAACCAUCCACGCCGCGCCUCGCACUCCAUCAACUGAUCAGCUAAGCACCCCACUAGUCAGCAAGAUUGGACCACGCCUUCCAGCCCCAGGGCUGCAUGAAGGUGCGUUGUCUGCCAGUAGUUCAAUUUCGAGGAAAAGGGAUGGAAGCUUAUCAUCAAGUAUACAAUCUGGUCCGUCGAAGAGGCUUUGUUUACCUUCCCCCAAUGCAGAAGAUGGCCUUGGUCAAAAACAGAAACCAAUAGCACAGGAUUCGACGGUUAUGGAGAUUGCCAGCAGCAUCAUGUCAAUGUAUGAUGAUCUAACGGCGAUCCUUGUCACUUAUUAUGCCGAGAUGCGGCCACACCCCACGGCGAUUUUGUUUGGUGCAACAACAGACGGGGCACCUGUGAAGAUUGACCUUGCACAGAGCAACUUUGGGAGGGACCCAUGGGUUGUCGGUUCUGUCCCCCCGCCACCCCCAGAAAACGCGCUUAGGGCUAUACGAGACUGGAUGUCAGCAGCCUCCAUGGCAAAUUUGCAGAGGAAUUGGAUUGUACAUCUUAAACCAAGGUUAAUAUCAAUCGAAGGGUUUGAAAUUCAGCGACAACUUGCAUCUGGAGCACCAAUGUCACAUGAGUUGUGUACUGCUAUAUUUCGGAGGCUUGCCCAACUGGAUCAGUCUUGCUCCAAGGACACGCCCGGUAACAUCUGGAGGAAGUACAUAGAGCCUGACUUUGCUACAACUGUUUUGUCAAACGCCGAUCCAUUGACUGUUCAAUCUAUCCGCACGGGUUUCCAAGAAGGAACAGGUGUUUGCAACCCGGCUUCGUGCAGAAUGUGGUUUAUCCCAGCUAUACUCCCAGACGGAUGGGCUGUCUACCUGUUUGAUAUGAUGCGGAAACGCAUCAUCGUGUUAGACCCAGCAGUUGGACCUUUUGGUUAUAGCAAUCGGCGGGUCAGCAUGCAUGAGUUUGUAAGCAACAAACUUCAUGCUGCCAUGUUUAACUGUCUACAUAAUUUCUUCAGCUCUUGGCAUUGCGACUCCACUAACUGGGGUCGCACAUUUCCUAUCAUAAUGCGGGAAAAAAUAAACAAAGAUGAAACUGGCUUGGGCGCUACGUUCUUUGCAAGGAAUUACGACGGUGACAGGCUACAAAUCCCAUUGACCAAAGAUACAUUGGAAUCACACGGCAACCUCAUGAUUUACGAGCUGAUGCAGAUGCAAGGGAACCAAACAAAGGCGGCACACGAUUCACUCGAAGCAAUCAAAGGAACGUUCCUUGUUCUGUAG
rnacentral:rRNA from 1 species